rnacentral:rRNA from 1 species
GAAUAUUGGACAAUGGGGGGCACCCUGAUCCAGCCAUGCCGCGUGUGUGAAGAAGGCCUUUUGGUUGUAAAGCACUUUACGCGAGGAGGAGGCUACUCUAGUUAAUCCCUAGGGCUAGUGGACGUUACUCGCCGAAUAAGCACCGGCUAACUCUGUGCCCGCCGCCGCGGUAAUACAGAGGGUGCAAGCGGUAAUCGGAUUUACUGGGCGUAAAGCGCGCGUAGGUGGCCAAUUAAGUCAAACGUGAAAUCCCCGAGCUUAACUUGGGAAUUGCAUUCGAUACUGGUUGGCUAGAGUAUGGGAGAGGAUGGUAGAAUUCCAGGUGUAGCGGUGAAAUGCGUAGAGAUCUGGAGGAAUACCGAUGGCGAAGGCAGCCAUCUGGCCUAAUACUGACACUGAGGUGCGAAAGCAUGGGGAGCAAACA